rnacentral:rRNA from 1 species
UACGGAGGGUGCAAGCGUUAUCCGGAUUCACUGGGUUUAAAGGGUGCGUAGGUGGCUUGGUAAGUCAGUGGUGAAAUCUCCGGGCUUAACCCGGAAACUGCCAGUGAUACUAUCAGUCUUGAAUACUGUGGAGGUUAGCGGAAUAUGUCAUGUAGCGGUGAAAUGCUUAGAUAUGACAUAGAACACCAAUUGCGAAGGCAGCAGGCUACACAAUUAUUGACACUGAGGCGCGAAAGCGUGGGGAUCAAACAGG